UUGGGCACAGCUGAAAUUGCACUGGUAAGGCACUGGUCAAGGAAGAUUGCAAGGGUGUCGACGUGUGUGCGUGUGUGUGAUUGGGUGAGAGUGUGUUUCUGUGUGGGUGUAUUUUUGUGAAUGUGUGUGUGCAUGCGUACGUUUGUGGGAGUGACUGUUGAUGUGAACAUGUGUGUGAGUGCGUGAGUAUGCGUGUGUGUGUGUGUGCCCGGGUUGCGUGUGCGUAUGGGUAAGAGAAAGUGUGUGUGCGUGCAUUUGUGUGAAUGUGUGUGAGACUGUGUAUUUGAGUGUGUGCGCGUGCAAGAGAAUGAGUGUAUGCAUGUGUAUGUGUGUGUGCGUGAGAGUGCCUUUGUGA